AGCACCGAGCAGCUUGGCUAAAAGUAAGGGUGUCGUGCUGAUGGCCCUGUGCGCACUGACCCGCGCUCUGCGCUCUCUGAACCUGGCGCCCCCGACCGUCGCCGCCCCUGCCCCGAGUCUGUUCCCCGCCGCCCAGGUAAUCCAUCUUACCCGGGAAGAAGGCUGCUUCCAUUCGGGCUGCCGGAGAUGGGGUCUGCGGGCAUGCGAGGCGGGAGUUGCGAGUCUGGUCAGGAGUCAUGCAGAUGAUGAACAAUGGCCUCCUCCAACAGCCCUCUGCCUUGAUGUUGCUCCCCUGCCGCCCAGUUCUUACUUCUGUGGCCCUUAAUGCCAACUUUGUGUCCUGGAAGAGUCGUACCAAGUACACCAUUACACCAGUGAAGAUGAGGAAGUCUGGGGGCCGAGACCACACAGGUGGGAACAAGGACAGGGGGAUUUAAGCAGUCAAAAGGAAAAACAUGUUAAGACCCUAGACUUGUAUAUUGACACACUUGUACCUUGUAAGGCAGAGGAAUGUAAUUAAAAAGCACUUAUUUGGCUCCUUUUGCAUGUAGUAUGUGUACAGGAGUCAGAGAGUAGAAUACAAAGCAAUAGGUAAUUGGUCUAUGCUUCUAAAGACAAUUUGGGUAAUUGAAGAAAAUGGGCCAUACACAGGAAGUGCCAUGACAUUUUCCUUCAUACCCUUCAAAAAUUUAUAACAGGCUGGGUAAGGUGGCUCACGACUGUAAUCCCAGCAUUUUGGGAGGCCGAGGCGGGCAGAUCACCUGACGUCACAAGUUUAAGACCAGGCUGGCCAACAUGGCAAAACCUCAUCUCUACUAAAACUUUAAAAAUUGGUCAGGCGCAGUGGCUCACGCCUGUAAUCCCAACACUUUGAGAGGCCAAGGCAGGCAGAUCACUUGAGGCCA
rnacentral:lncRNA from 1 species